UACGUAGGGGGCUAGCGUUGUCCGGAAUCAUUGGGCGUAAAGCGCGUGUAGGCGGUCCGGUAAGUCCGCUGUGAAAGUCGGGGGCUCAACCCUCGGAUGCCGGUGGAUACUGUCGGGCUUGAGUACGGAAGAGGCGAGUGGAAUUCCGGGUGUAGCGGUGAAAUGCGUAGAUAUCCGGAGGAACACCGGUGGCGAAGGCGGCUUCCUGGACCGACACUGACGCUGAGGCGCGAAAGCUAGGGGAGCAAACGGG
rnacentral:rRNA from 1 species